AGAGUCCACAUAUGUUCGGGGGAGGGACCCCAGAAGGCGGCUGACAGUAUUCCUUUAGCCAGAAAUCCCUUCAGGGAAGAGAAAGGUGCUCCCCUUUGCCUGCUUUUAUACUACAGACUGUUUCCAACUCCAGCUAGAAGUGACUAUUGCCGAUUAUGCUAAUCAGUGGCGACAAGCUCCCUUUGACUGCUCACUUCUCCAGUGAGGCUUCAAGCUUCUAGGCAUCAAGAUUAGUAAGGCUGUCUUCUGGUUUUGAAAACAACUAGAUUGCCCAUCUCCAUUUCUCUCUAUCAUCUACUGUAUUAUUCUAUGGACAACUGCCACCCUAAUAAGCAAUUGUCAGCAUCUUUGCCACAUGUUUGGAGGCCUGAUAUCAGUUUGUCACCAUGUACUGUAUUUUUCCUGUCUGGUUGGGAGCAGAGAGCAGGUGCUUGGAAAUCCUGCUCUCAUCCAUUCUCCACACAUGACUGGUCUAUGUUCAGCUGAAUUAUGGUGAAUAUCACUUGAGAACUGCUGUAGUAACUGCACUUCAAGACCUGCCUGUAAUCUUGCCCUGCUAUUUGAUAUUCAUUCAGCAAAGCACAUAAAUGAAAUUAUUAAAACUAUUUAAGGACUCAGAUAUGCUCAUAUCAUCUUCAAGACUUAUCAUCUUAUUAUAAUACAUGAGAAAUCAGCGUAAUUCUGAAGAAGUUAAGCUUGACCCAGAGUUUGGAACACAAUUGAAAUACCUAAUUGAUGGUUUGUUAUUAAACUAUCAAUUAAAUGUAUUUUUACAU
ensembl:lncRNA MIR4307HG MIR4307 host gene